CCGCAGAGUAUAAGCGGUCAGCGUGACGAGGUUUCACCACGCGGGACAUUGCUCUGCAG
rnacentral:ncRNA from 1 species